AACGAACGCUGGCGGCAGGCCUAACACAUGCAAGUCGAUCGCUGUCUUCGGACAGGGAGGCGCACGGGUGAGUAACACGUGGGAACAUACCCUUAAGUGCGGAAUAACUAUUGGAAACGAUAGCUAAUACCGCAUACGCCCUACGGGGGAAAGAUUUAUCGCUUAAGGAUUGGCCCGCGUCUGAUUAGCUAGUUGGCGGGGUAACGGCCCACCAAGGCGACGGUCAGUAGCUGGUUUGAGAGAAUGAUCAGCCACACUGGGACUGAGACACGGCCCAGACUCCUACGGGAGGCAGCAGUGGGGAAUAUUGGACAAUGGGCGCAAGCCUGAUCCAGCCAUGCCGCGUGAGUGAAGAAGGCCUUCGGGUUGUAAAGCUCUUUCAGACGUGAAGAUGAUGACGGUAGCGUCAGAAGAAGCCCCGGCUAACUUCGUGCCAGCCGCCGCCGUAA
rnacentral:rRNA from 1 species